rnacentral:rRNA from 1 species
GACCUACGGGAGGCAGCAGUGAGGAAUAUUGGUCAAUGGUCGGGAGACUGAACCAGCCAAGCCGCGUGAGGGAGGAAGGUACAGAGUAUCGUAAACCUCUUUUGUCAGGGAACAAAGGCGGGGACGUGUCCCCGGAUGAGUGUACCUGAAGAAAAAGCAUCGGCUAACUCCGUGCCAGCAGCCGCGGUAAUACGGAGGAUGCGAGCGUUAUCCGGAUUUAUUGGGUUUAAAGGGUGCGCAGGCGGUCUGUUAAGUCAGCGGUCAAAAUGCGGUGCUCAACGCCGUACAGCCGUUGAAACUGGCAG